GGAACCACCUGAAAAUGUCCGGGUUUUUCCGAUCAGCUGUCAUCGUGAAUGUUGCAGAAAAGUUGAGCAGCUCUUCCUCGAUUUAUUUGGUGCAUAUUCUCCACAAAAGUGUUUGGUUGACAUUGUCAGAUGUUAUUGAUUGUAUUGAUUUUCACCCGACCAAACAUGUUUACGUGAUUUUCAUGAUGUUGCAUUUGUCUGAAUAUCAUUGGUCUCUGGGUAUCUUCAGCAUUUCCUUUGACAUCUUUGAAGGUAUAUUUGUUUCCCUGAUUUAAAACCUGUUUUUUCCUACAGACUCGUGUUCACAGGCUGAUUUUAGUGAUAGAGGGUAAAGUAGGUUCAGGUGGAUUUGAUAGCUGCAUGUGGGGAAUAAGGUCAGUAAGAGUGGUCCUGGAAUUUGAAUGCUAUCUUUAUUUAGCGCAGUGGUUAUGAAUAACUUUCACAAAGUUGUGAUUUUCAAAAGGAAUUCUACAAAUCUGCCAUAUUUCGGUUCUCUCUCUUGCAGCCGAGGACCCUGAAUCUUCACCAGAGAGGACUAACAUGCUCCAGGAAUGCGUGGUGAAGAAACUCAGUUUACAGUUUAUAUGUUUUUAUUUUUAUGAGUUUUUUGUUGAUUAAUGC